UACGUAGGGGGCAAGCGUUGUCCGGAAUCAUUGGGCGUAAAGAGCGUGUAGGCGGCCCGGUAAGUCUGUUGUGAAAGUCCAGGGCUCAACCCUGGAAAAGCCGAUGGAUACUGCCGGGCUAGAGUUCGGAAGAGGCGAGUGGAAUUCCUGGUGUAGCGGUGGAAUGCGCAGAUAUCAGGAGGAACACCUAUAGCGAAGGCAGCUCGCUGGGACGACACUGACGCUGAGACGCGAAAGCGUGGGGAGCGAACAGG
rnacentral:rRNA from 1 species